rnacentral:rRNA from 1 species
CCUACGGGCGGCAACAGUGGGGAAUAUUGGACAAUGGGGGGAACCCUGAUCCAGCCAUGCCGCGUGUGUGAAGAAGGCCCUCGGGUUGUAAAGCACUUUCAGUGAGGAAGAACGCCUGGUGGUUAAUACCCAUCAGGAAAGACAUCACUCACAGAAGAAGCACCGGCUAACUCCGUGCCAGCAGCCGCGGUAAUACGGAGGGUGCGAGCGUUAAUCGGAAUUACUGGGCGUAAAGCGCGCGUAGGUGGCUUGAUAAGCCGGUUGUGAAAGCCCCGGGCUCAACCUGGGAACGGCAUCCGGAACUGUCAAGCUAGAGUGCAGGAGAGGAAGGUAGAAUUCCCGGUGUAGCGGUGAAAUGCGUAGAGAUCGGGAGGAAUACCAGUGGCGAAGGCGGCCUUCUGGACUGACACUGACACUGAGGUGCGAAAGCGUGGGUAGCAAACAGGAUUAGAUACCCCAGUAGUC